UAUUAAAGGCAACGCCUGCCCAGUGAAUAAUUAAACGGCCGCGGUACCCUAACCGUGCAAAGGUAGCGUAAUCACUUGUCUAUUAAUUGUAGACCUGCAUGAAAGGCAUAAUGAGGGCCUAACUGUCUCUUUUAGCAAAUCAAUUAAACUGAUCUCCUAGUCCAAAAGCUAGAAUGUCAACAUAAGACCAGAAGACCCUGUGAAACUUUAACUAAACUAUUAAACCUAAUAAUAGAUCCUUUCGGUUGGGGCGACCUUGGAAAAAAAAAGAACUUCCAAAUUAAGAUAUAAAAUAUCAACACAGGCUCACAAGCCCACAACGACCCAGCACUGCUGAUUAUUGAACCAAGCUACUCCAGGGAUAACAGCGCUAUCUUCUUCAAGAGCCCAUAUCAAAAAGAAGGUUUACGACCUCGAUGUUGGAUCAGGACAUCCUAAUGGUGCAGCCGC
rnacentral:rRNA from 1 species